AACGAACGCUGGCGGCGUGGAUAAGACAUGCAAGUCGAGCGGGACAUCACUUGUAGCAAUACGGGUGAUGUUUAGCGGCGCAAGGGUGCGUAACACGUGGGCAAUUUGCCAUAAAGCUGGGGAUAACUCCGGGAAACCGGAGCUAAUACCGAAUGUGAACAUCUGGAGGCAUCUUUGGAUGUUUAAAGCUGGGGACCGUAAGGCCUGGCACUUUAUGAUGAGCCCGCGGCCUAUCAGCUAGUUGGCGUGGUAACAGCACACCAAGGCUAAGACGGGUAGCUGGUCUGAGAGGACGACCAGCCACACUGGAACUGAGACACGGUCCAGACACCUACGGGUGGCAGCAGUCGAGAAUUUUUCACAAUGGGCGCAAGCCUGAUGGAGCGACGCCGCGUGGGGGAUGAAGGGCUUCGGCUCGUAAACCCCUGUCAGUUGCGAACAAUGUACACCGGUGAACAUCCGGUGUGCUGAUAGUAGUGACAGG
rnacentral:rRNA from 1 species